rnacentral:tRNA from 1 species
AAAUAUUUCAUAUAAAUAUAAAAAAUUAUUAUAUUUUUUUAUAAAAAAUAAUUUAUUAUAAGUAUACUUAUAAAAAUUUAAAUAUUUUUUAAUUAUAAUAUUAUUUAUAAUAUUUA